GACGAACGCUGGCGGCGUGCUUAACACAUGCAAGUCGAACGGAAAUGCCCUGCUUUUGUGGGGUGCUCGAGUGGCGAACGGGUGAGUAACACGUGAGUAACCUGCCCUUGACUUUGGGAUAACUUCAGGAAACUGGGGCUAAUACCGGAUAGGAGCUCCUGCUGCAUGGUGGGGGUUGGAAAGUUUCGGCGGUUGGGGAUGGACUCGCGGCUUAUCAGCUUGUUGGUGGGGUAGUGGCUUACCAAGGCUUUGACGGGUAGCCGGCCUGAGAGGGUGACCGGCCACAUUGGGACUGAGAUACGGCCCAGACUCCUACGGGAGGCAGCAGUGGGGAAUAUUGCACAAUGGGCGGAAGCCUGAUGCAGCAACGCCGCGUGCGGGAUGACGGCCUUCGGGUUGUAAACCGAUUUCGCCUGUGAUGAAGCGUGAGUGACGGUAAUGGGUAAAGAAGCACCGGCUAACUACGUG
rnacentral:rRNA from 1 species